GGCAAAAGCUCAAAUUUGAAAUCUGAGGCUUUCAGCCCCCGAGUUGUAAUUUGAAGAUGGUGUUCUGGCGCCGGCCCCCUGUCUACGUUCCUUGGAACAGGACAUCACAGAGGGUGAGAAUCCCGUCUGGCGGGGCGGCCUGGCUCCGUGUAGAGCGCCAUCGACGAGUCGAGUUGUUUGGGAAUGCAGCUCUAAGUGGGUGGUAAAUUCCAUCUAAAGCUAAAUAUUGGCGAGAGACCGAUAGCGAACAAGUACAGUGAUGGAAAGAUGAAAAGAACUUUGAAAAGAGAGUGAAAAAGUACGUGAAAUUGUUGAAAGGGAAGGGUAUUGGAUCAGACUUGGUGCUGUGCGAAUAGCGGCUCUUCUUGGGCCGCCCACUCGCACUCCACCGGGCCAGCAUCGGUUUGGGCGGCAAGACAAUGGCGGGGGAACGUGGCACUGCUCUCGGGCAGUGUGUUUAUAGCCCCCGCUGAUGUUGCCUGCCUAGACCGAGGACUGCGGCUUCUGCCUAGGAUGCUGGCGUAAUGAUCCAACACCGCCCGUCUUGAAACAUGGACCAAGGAGUCUAACGUCUAUGCGA
rnacentral:rRNA from 1 species